UUUAAAGUGUAAUGUAAGUCGCUUUGGAUAAAAGCGUCUGCUAAUUGACCUGUA
rfam:Gasterosteus aculeatus cont1.016436, whole genome shotgun sequence.